CCUACGGGAGGCUGCAGUCGAGAAUCAUUCACAAUGGGGGAAACCCUGAUGGGGCGACGCCGCGUGGGGGAAUGAAGGUCUGCGGAUUGUAAACCCCUGUCAUGUGGGAGCAAAUUAAAAAGAUAGUACCACAAGAGGAAGAGACGGCUAACUCUGUGCCAGCAGCCGCGGUAAUACAGAGGUCUCAAGCGUUGUUCGGAAUCACUGGGCGUAAAGUGUGCGUAGGCUGUUUCGUAAGUCGUGUGUGAAAGGCGCGGGCUCAACCCGCGGACGGCACAUGAUACUGCGAGACUAGAGUAAUGGAGGGGGAACCGGAAUUCUCGGUGUAGCAGUGAAAUGCGUAGAUAUCGAGAGGAACACUCGUGGCGAAGGCGGGUUCCUGGACAUUAACUGACGCUGAGGCACGAAGGCCAGGGGAGCGAAAGGGAUUAGAUACCCCAGUAGUC
rnacentral:rRNA from 1 species